rnacentral:rRNA from 1 species
UACGUAGGGGGCAAGCGUUGUCCGGAAUCAUUGGGCGUAAAGAGCGCGUAGGCGGUCCGGUAAGUCGGUUGUGAAAACUGGGGGGCUCAACCCUCAGAGGCCGACCGAUACUGUCGGGCUAGAGUCCGGAAGAGGCGAGUGGAAUUCCUGGUGUAGCGGUGAAAUGCGCAGAUAUCAGGAGGAACACCAAUGCGAAGGCAGCUCGCUGGGGACGGUACUGACGCUUGAGGGCGCGAAAAGCGUGGGGUUAGCAAAACCAGGAUUAG